AUGUACCAUUUGGCACUUUAAGCAAUUCUUUUCUUAGAAGGGGAACCUAUGGUUUUGCCAUGUAAUGCAAAACACCAAUGGAAUCACUACAUAAGCAAAAUGCCAGUAAUGGUAUAGUGGUCCAGCCACAAGCAUUGACCUGUCCUGGGCACGCGUGAGGUCCUGAGUUCCCCAGCUGCUUCUGGUAAGCACCUUUGGGCUGGUCAUUGGGAAGCAUUCUUCAGACGGUCAUUUAGAGACUCAGGAUGGUAAGAAAUGUUUUUUCACCUUGCACAAAUGGUGACAGCAUUACUGUAAUUUCUUUGUCUUGCAAGUAAAGGACAGCAAAGGAGCAAGGACAUUGCUCACUUCCCUCUUUCCCUGUACGCUAACUCUUAAUGUAUAUUCCAGAGUGUUUCUUCCCAACGACUGGCCUACACUUUACCCUCUGUGAAGCUUUUUGAAGAACUUGUGCACUUCAUGCAAAGCAUUUUGUUUUCAGUGCCCAAUGUAAGGAAGAAGCAGCACCUCCCAUGGGGACCAUAGGCACAAACAGCACAACAAAUAUCUCCUCCCAGCUUUGGUGCUACCAAGGGAGAGAAAGGAGGUUGGCUACGCAAAUAAUAAAUUCUUCAUUGGCAGCGCUGCUCUUUGCACUGGGGAGAAGGGUUGUCACCGUGGGGAGAGAGCAGCAAUAUACUGCCCAGCUGGACUCCUGGUUUGGGUUCCCUAGUAUUUUUCUGUUUAUUAUAGCAAAUGUCCUGUAAUUCAAGGUCUCCAUAGGGGGAAGGGAGGGUGUGUCAGACUCUGCUUAGUAGAGUUUCGGCAGAUAGCAGUUUUCUUUCCAUUUAAUAUGACAGGUGUUUAGUUUUUAACCUGCUCCUGCCAUUCACCAUUCUCACCUUUCCUCCUCCCAAGUCAAAUAUGUCAGUUUUGAGUUUUGCUGAUCUGCACAACCUGAAAAUGACAGCUUCUGAUUACCCACACAUACAAACCCCUGGAAUAUCAACUGUAAAAAAAAAAAAAAGGGUAGGAUUUGUGUCCAGGUUUCUGCUUAAAUUAGGUCGUGUGGCCUUUGCACUUUGAUUAACUAUGUAAUUAAUAAUGAACAGGUGUGGCAGGGUAGGCACUUUAUUCUGGCUUUUUUUUUCUGUCCCAUGAAUGCUGGGAAAGAAUGCAAUGAAGGCACUUAGUUGUGAGAACACUUUCUCACCCUGUUGGUGUAAUUCCUAAAGUCUGGUUGUGUUUUAAACCCCCAGGAAGAGGAACAAGCAAAAAUUCAUUAUUUGUCUUUGGGUCUACAAAGGCUAAAGGCUAGAGGAAUUCUGAAAGGAAGCUAAUCCUCACUCCUGGUCAGCAGCAGGAAUGAAAAGGACAGUGGUAAUGCUGUCCUCUGUUUUGCCUUUUCUAUUUUCUUUUUUAAUUUUCUCUUUGAAGAAAAUGACCCAGGGCAAAACAUGGUUGGAAAGGUUUACGACUACCCUUGGAGCUGAAGUGGAGAGAGCCACCACCAUGUUGCUGUCAGCUCUGCCAUGCUAAUAGAGUAUGAGGGGAAAUCAGAUGCGCAUUAAAGCUUUUGCUCUGCAAAAAUGCCUACGGACGAAGUUUUGUCUACAGCUUGUUAGAGGUACUUUCACAAGGUUGUUAUUCUCCUUUGUCCCUGUCCAUCUUUUGUUCUUUAUCCGUCUGUUUUGAUCUACGUCUUUGCUCUCAACCUCUUUAAUUGGAAGUCCUGUGAUGCAAAAACCAAAUUUAUGUUCUGUGAGCAUACAGCACCUAGAUCCUUGUCCAUAAUUAAUGCCAGUAUAUAGAAUCAUAGAAUCAUAGAAUCAUAGAAUCAUAGAAUCAUAGAAUGGUUUGAGUUGGAAGGGACCUUAAAGAUCAUUUAAUUUCAACCCCUCUGUCAUGGGCAGGGACACUACACCAACCUGGCUUUGAACACCUCCAGGGAUGGGGCACUCAUAUCUUCCCUGGGCAACCUGUGCCAUUGCCUUACCACCCUCAUUGUGAAGAAAUGCCUUCUUAUAUCUAGUCUAAAUCUGCCCCUCUCCAACUUAAAACCAUUCCCCCUAGUCCUAUCACUACAUUCCUUUGUAAAAAGUCCCUUCCUAAGAGGAACCAGUCCUUUUCUGGGGAGUUAGAUUAGUCUUUUAUAAAGCUAGUCUUUUAAGUCAGUCAGUUAUUUUGCAUGUUAAAUGCUUUAUCAUUUAUUACAGCUUUGACACAAAAGCAGCGGUCCCUUUACAUGGGGUUCACCUAGAAGAAGAGAUGGCGAGCUCAUUGAUAUGGCAUACUAUACAGGCCUCCUUUACCUCUGCCCCACAUUCUUCCACGACACAUUCUGCUUUUGUCAAAAAAUCUUGGGACUGUGGGCACAAAGUGCAAAAUAGGGUUGUUGAUGCUUUGUUCUUCUGACUUCUUCAGGAUUAUAAUAACCAUUUCAUGGAGAUUAGCUGAAGGGAUCAAGAAUGAUUCUGCUGCUGAUUCCUGAUUCCUGAUUCCUGACCCAUUGAGAUCCAGUGGCUACAUUUUCAUUUGGUUUACAUCAUUCACUGGCAAGUUUUAGGCCAGUAUGUUGUUGCUUUCCAGAUGAAUAAGACUUUUAAAGUCUUUUCAUAUACUGCCAAAAAAACUGGGUUCCAAUAACAUCAAGGCAACCUUUACUGCUUUUAAAGUUGCCUUGUAAAGCAUGUAAAAUAAGAUUUUAUAUCAGUUUUAAUAUUCUUUCAUACUACAGGCUCCCCUUUAAUAUCAAAAGCAACUCUUGAGUGAGGUAGGAUUUGAUGUGAAGAAUAGCAUUAAGUCAUCAGAAAGGAAGGUGCUGCUUAACCACUAAAAUCUUUUUUAAAUGCUUUUCUUAGUAGAUUUGUUAGUAAUUAUACUAUAUAAAUUUAAGAGUGGAAAUUUUGUUUCUCCAUCAUAAUUUCUAUGUCUAGUACUUUGCACUGAGUUUUGGAGUGCAACCGAAUUGCGA